GAGAUGUGGGUUAGUCCGCACGAGCGCACCUCACUUUUAGUUGCCAUCAUUAAGUUGGGCACUCUGAAAGAACUGCCAGUGAUAAGCUGGAGGAAGGUGGGGAUGACGUCAAGUCCUCAUGGCCCUUACGUGUUGGGCUACACACGUGCUACAAUGGCAUCUACAACAGGAAGCAAAACGGCAACGUUAAGCAAAUCCCGAAAAGAUGCCUCAGUUCGGAUUGCACUCUGCAAUUCGAGUGCAUGAAGCUGGAAUUACUAGUAAUCGUGGAUCAGCGUGCCACGGUGAAUGCGUUCCCGGGUCUUGUACACACCGCCCGUCACACCAUGGGAGUUGGUUCUACCUUAAGGCAAGGUUUCAAACCCUUGACCACGGUAUAGUCAGCGACUGGGGUGAAGUCGUAACAAGGUAGCCGUAGGGGAACCUGCGGCUGGAUUACCUCCUUUCU
rnacentral:rRNA from 1 species